AACGAACGCUGGCGGCAGGCCUAACACAUGCAAGUCGAACGAGAUCUUCGGAUCUAGUGGCGGACGGGUGAGUAACGCGUGGGAACGUGCCCUUCUCUACGGAAUAGUCCUGGGAAACUGGGUUUAAUACCGUAUACGCCCUUCGGGGGAAAGAAUUUCGGGGAAGGAUCGGCCCGCGUUGGAUUAGGUAGUUGGUGGGGUAAUGGCCUACCAAGCCGACGAUCCAUAGCUGGUUUGUAGAGGAUGAUCAGCCACACUGGGACGUGAGACACGGCCCAGACUCCUACGGGAGGCAGCAGUGGGGAAGUCUUAGACAAUAGGGGGGCCAAACCCUCGAUCUAGCCAUGCCGCGUGAGUGACGAAGGCCCUAGGGUCGUAAAAGCUCCUUCGGCCAGGGAUGAUAAUGACAGUACCUGGUAAAGAAACCCCGGCUAAAC
rnacentral:rRNA from 1 species